rnacentral:pre_miRNA from 1 species
CGAGGCGGGCGGAUCACGAGGUCAGGAGAUCGAGNGUGUUAGCCAGGAUGGUCUCGAUCUCCUGACCUCGUGAUCCGCCCGUCUCG